rnacentral:rRNA from 1 species
GCAGCUAACGCACUAAGUUGACCGCCUGGGGGAGUACGGCCGCCAAGGGUUAAAAACUCAAAAUGAAAUUGACGGGGGGCCCCGCACAAGCGGUGGGAGCAUGUGGUUUAAAUUCGAAUGCAAACGCGAAAGAACCUUACCCAUGCCUUGACAUCCCGAGAACUUUCCAGAGAUGGAUUGGUGCCUCGGGAAACUCUGAGACAGGUGCUGCAUGGCUGUCGUCAGCUCGUGUUGUGAGAUGUUGGGUUAAGUCCCGUAACGAGCGCAACCCUUAUCCUUGGUUGCUAGCACGUAAUGGUGAGAACUCCAGGGAGACUGCCGGUGACAAACCGGAGGAAGGUGGGGAUGACGUCAGGUCAUCAUGGCCCUUACGGCCAGGGCUACACACGUGCUACAAUGGUGGGUACAGAUGGGAAGCCAACUCGCGAGAGUGAGCCAAUCCCAUAAAGCGCGUCGUAGUCCGGAUUGGAGUCUGCAACUCGACUCCAUGAAGUCGGAAUCGCUAGUAAUCGUGGAUCAGAAUGCCGCGGUGAAUACGUUCCCGGGCCUUGUACACACCCCCCGUCUCACCAUGGGAGUGGGUUGCACC